GGGGGCGAAUUUCCUAGGAAUUCCCCCCCCCCCGGGGAGGGGCGAUAUUCCUAGGAAUUUCGCCCCCCGGGGGGCAAAAUUGGGGGGGGGGCGAAAUUCCUGGGACACCGGCAUCGACAAGAUUCCGGAUUGGAGCAGCUUGACAAAAUUCAGAUCAGAACAGAUCAACAAAUCUUGUCAAUCAAAUGUUGUCAAUCUGUUCCAGUCUGGGUAUUUCUUGAUGUUUUUUUGAUGCUUGUAUUCCCUGUGAUCUUGUCGACACUAGAAACCAAAAUGGCGGGAGAAACAAAUUCAUCUUCAGCGGAGAGAAAUUCUUUUACUUUACCGUGGAAUGAUAGCGACGUUAUUCUAGUUGUCCAAGGCUGGGAACUCCAUGUACAUAAAACUAUACUGGCUCUUCAAUCACCAGUUUUCAUAGCGACGUUUAAUGGCCAGUUUCGGGAUACCCUGCGAAUAUUUAUUCGGAUGAAGCAGUCAAUCAAAUCUUUGCUGAGAUUGAGCAUGUUCAAUUAAGAGAGAUGCGUAUGAAAUCAUUUGGAGAUUCUAUAACCCAAGUGCUAGAUAUGAAGGCUAAUGCAAAAUCAGGAAAUGGAAUUUAAACUUUCCUGCCCAAUAAACUUUGAUAUUGUUUAUGCAAACUGGAACAUAUGAUGCAAAUUGAAUGUAUUUGAGCAUAUGAACAAAGUCAUACAAUUAUGUUAGAGAAUGGUUGUUGUUUUAAAAGUUGAUAGCACAUUAACAUUACAUUGACCAUCUCGUUCAAAAUAUAGACAGAUUUGUGGCAAGGGAACCAGAAUUAUACAAAUCUUGCCCUAGUGCCUCACUGGUUUUUAAUUGGAUAAUUAGUAUGUUUUUAAGUCUGUAGAGAAGUUGUGAUGUCCGGGGUGAUGUAAAUCUGUGGGCCGUUUAAGACUUACUUAAAUUAAGUAAGUUACUUAGGUGUGCACUUGGUGUAUGUUUGUCAGAAGGUA